rnacentral:tRNA from 1 species
GGGGAUGGAGCUCAGUGGUAGAGCACUUGCCUAGCAUGUGCAAGAUCCUGGGUUCGAGCCCCAGCACCAUUU